UACGGAGGGAGCUAGCGUUGUUCGGAAUUACUGGGCGUAAAGCGCACGUAGGCGGCUUUGUAAGUUAGAGGUGAAAGCCCGGGGCUCAACCCCGGAAUAGCCUUUAAGACUGCAUCGCUUGAAUCCGGGAGAGGUGAGUGGAGUUCCGAGUGUAGAGGUGAAAUUCGUAGAUAUUCGGAAGAACACCAGUGGCGAAGGCGGCUCACUGGACCGGUAUUGACGCUGAGGUGCGAAAGCGUGGGGAGCAAACAGG
rnacentral:rRNA from 1 species